rnacentral:rRNA from 1 species
CCUACGGGUGGCAGCAGUGAGGAAUAUUGGUCAAUGGGCGCGAGCCUGAACCAGCCAAGUCGCGUGAGGGAGGACUGCCCUACGGGUUGUAAACUUCUUUUGUAAAGGAAUAAAGUGAGGCACGUGUGCCUUUCUGUGUGUACUUUAUGAAUAAGCAUCGGCUAACUCCGUGCCAGCAGCCGCGGUAAUACGGAGGAUCCGAGCGUUAUCCGGAUUUAUUGGGUUUAAAGGGAGCGUAGAUGGGGCGUUAAGUCAGUCGUGAAAGUUUGGGGCUCAAACGUAAAAUUGCAAUUGAUACUGGCAGUCUUGAGUACAGCUGAGGUAGGCGGAAUGCGUGGUGUAGCGGUGAAAUGCAUAGAUAUCACGAAGAACUCCGAUUGCGAAGGCAGCUUAC